UNGGCUCAGGACGAACGCUGGCGGCGUGCCUAAUACAUGCAAGUCGAGCGGACAGAUGGGAGCUUGCUCCCUGAUGUUAGCGGCGGACGGGUGAGUAACACGUGGGUAACCUGCCUGUAAGACUGGGAUAACUCCGGGAAACCGGGGCUAAUACCGGAUGGUUGUUUGAACCGCAUGGUUCAGACAUAAAAGGUGGCUUCGGCUACCACUUACAGAUGGACCCGCGGCGCAUUAGCUAGUUGGUGAGGUAACGGCUCACCAAGGCGACGAUGCGUAGCCGACCUGAGAGGGUGAUCGGCCACACUGGGACUGAGACACGGCCCAGACUCCUACGGGAGGCAGCAGUAGGGAAUCUUCCGCAAUGGACGAAAGUCUGACGGAGCAACGCCGCGUGAGUGAUGAAGGUUUUCGGAUCGUAAAGCUCUGUUGUUAGGGAAGAACAAGUGCCGUUCAAAUAGGGCGGCACCUUGACGGUACCUAACCAGAAAGCCACGGCUAACUACGUGCCAGCAGCCGCGGUAAUACGUAGGUGGCAAGCGUUGUCCGGAAUUAUUGGGCGUAAAGGGCUCGCAGGCGGUUUCUUAAGUCUGAUGUGAAAGCCCCCGGCUCAACCGGGGAGGGUCAUUGGAAACUGGGGAACUUGAGUGCAGAAGAGGAGAGUGGAAUUCCACGUGUAGCGGUGAAAUGCGUAGAGAUGUGGAGGAACACCAGUGGCGAAGGCGACUCUCUGGUCUGUAACUGACGCUGA
rnacentral:rRNA from 1 species